CAUGCUGAUAAGACCUUAUUCUAAUCACUUGUCCACCUGAUAGGAAGCAAGGCGCCGCAUGCCGUCGCUUAACGCGCGCGACAGACCGCUCGAUCUCGAGACGAGGGCGAAACCGUCCACGCGUGCACACUAUCAGUGUCCGUGUCACGUUCCCAUGUGUGUGCGUUGAUCGCUGGUACGACACUCUUUAAUCUCCCACGCUUUAGUGCGCGCGUCGCAUGCUCUCGGCAUCAUUUUCGCGAUAGCCGCGCGUCGCUCCUCCCGGAAGCGUCAUGUAGACGAUGAUGAGCAGGUGCCAAGCACAUCGGUGCCGCUGGCGUCGAUGUUCGAGUUACAUUAUUACGUUGCUGCACGCGAAACAUUCCAAAUCACGAAGUAAAAGCGACGUUGUGAGUGUGCAAAACUGCGAAACUAUGUGUGUAAUUCUUCCGUAAAAAAUGUGUUGUGCACUUUGCUCCGAAAGUAUUAAAAGUGACCAGCCGAAAUACGAGUGAUUCAUCAAUCCAUGUCCGAUGAUCAAAUAUUGAAAAAGUUCCAUGGAAAUUGGAUAAUUUAAUAGGCACUACGAAAUGAAAAAGAAGCAUCCACCGUUUGACUUAGGUGACUUUCGAUUCCAAAUAAGAGAGAAUGGGAAAAACGAGACUCAGACGAAGGAAACGAGAAACAUCGCAAUCCAUAGACAACUAGCGAUAGCAUCUGAUCGUAGCCCAUAAAUGCCGGUUGUGUAAAAACUAUCAAAAACCAUCUUGUUAAAAGAAGCUGCUCGCGGAAGGUGAUGACAGAAGAAACUGAAAGAGAAAGAGAGAGAAAGAGAGCAAAAAUAGAAAGAAACGGCAGUGGAGAGAAAUCUUAAUGCGUGUGCGCAUGCAAGAGAUAAUUUCCGAGUGAUUUAUCUUCUUAGAUUCGCAGGUGUCGCGCACGUCCUUCACGGCCUUUAUCUUCGUCGUACCGUCUUUUUCUUCCCGCCAACGAAUAGUAACUCCUUGUGGCGCUUCUAUUUUACGAUCGCAGGAUGAGAGGAAGAGAGAAUAGAACGAGAGUAGUAUUCUCGGGUGCGACAGAUCUGGAAUAAUUGGAGGACGAUUCGCGGUCGAAGAGAGAAAAGUCGAAGGGACGAGGUUUAUGCAAAAAGGGCGGAACAAAGAUGAAUGAGGAGGAGACCGACGAA